rnacentral:rRNA from 1 species
CAGCCCUUGACAUGUCCCGUAUGGAUUUCAGAGAUGAGAUCCUUCAGUUCGGCUGGCGGGAACACAGGUGCUGCAUGGCUGUCGUCAGCUCGUGUCGUGAGAUGUUGGGUUAAGUCCCGCAACGAGCGCAACCCUCGGCCUUAGUUGCCAUCAUUUAGUUGGGCACUCUAAGGCGACUGCCGGUGAUAAGCCGGAGGAAGGUGGGGAUGACGUCAAGUCCUCAUGGCCCUUACGGGCUGGGCUACACACGUGCUACAAUGGCGGUGACAGAGGGAUGCAAUAGGGCAACCUUUCGCAAAUCUUGAAAAACCGUCUCAGUUCGGAUUGGGGUCUGCAACUCGACCCCAUGAAGUUGGAAUCGCUAGUAAUCGCGGAUCAGCACGCCGCGGUGAAUACGUUCCC